rnacentral:rRNA from 1 species
GCACAACGCGAAGAACCUUACCAGGGCUUGACAUCCCGCUGACCGGUGUAGAGAUAUGCCUUUCCCUUCGGGGUACGAGCGGUGACAGGUGGUGCAUGGUUGUCGUCAGCUCGUGUCGUGAGAUGUUGGGUUCGAGUCCCGCAACGAGCGCAACCCUUAUUUCUAGUUGCCAGCACUUCGGGUGGGCACUCUAGAGAGACAGCCGGUGAAAGCCGGAGGAAGGUGGGGAUGACGUCAAAUCAUCAUGCCCCUUAUGUCCUGGGCUACACACGUGCUACAAUGGCUGGUACAAAGGGCAGCGAACCCGCGAGGGGGAGCCAAUCCCAAAAAACCAGUCUCAGUUCGGAUUGCAGGCUGCAACUCGCCUGCAUGAAGUCGGAAUCGCUAGUAAUCGCGGAUCAGCAUGCCGCGG